UACGGAGGGUGCAAGCGUUAUCCGGAUUCACUGGGUUUAAAGGGUGCGUAGGUGGGGCGGUAAGUCAGUGGUGAAAUCUCCGAGCUUAACUUGGAAACUGCCAUUGAUACUAUCACUCUUGAAUAUUGUGGAGGUCAGCGGAAUAUGUCAUGUAGCGGUGAAAUGCUUAGAUAUGACAUAGAACACCCAUGGCGAAGGCAGCUAACUGGGCAUUAUCUGACGCUGAGGCGCGAAAGCGUGGGUAGCAAACAGG
rnacentral:rRNA from 1 species